rnacentral:rRNA from 1 species
GACAGAGGGUGCAAACGUUGUUCGGAUUUACUGGGCGUAAAGCGCGUGUAGGCGGCUUGGCAAGUCGGAUGUGAAAGCCCACGGCUCUACCGUGGAAGCGCAUCCGAAACGGCCUCGCUCGAGUCUCGGAGAGGAAGGUGGAAUGCUUGGUGUAGAGGUGAAAUUCGUAGAUAUCAAGCAGAACACCUGCGGCGAAGGCGGCCUUCUGGACGAUGACUGACGCUGAGACGCGAAAGCGUGGGGAGCAAACAGG